ACAGAUCCCCCAGCCCGGAGCCGGCAGUGCAGCUCAGAGCCCUUCCGGUUUACAGCCGCGGAAAAACAACUCGGACCAGAUCCGGGAGGGGAAUGGGGGCUGGGUGGCCAAAAUUCAGUCCAGAGGAUCGAAGCGGCUGCUUUAACAGAAGUUGGGGCUGCGUAACAACAGCUCCAAGCAAAGCUUCAGGCUGAUCGGAAAGAUGAGGAAGCAGAAAAGAGACUAAAGACAGACGGACAGGAUGGCUGGGGACAACGACAGGGACCCAGUGAAAAUACGGGCAAUACCGAGGGCUGUAACCCUAACACGGGCAAAUUUGGAGGGGCUAACAUGGGCGGAAACCAUCCGUACCAGUCACCACCACUGUCUCCAGCUGUCCCAGAACCGGACUCUUCCUGCCAUCAAAAUGGCGGCGGCGACGGCAGCGGUGGUAGCACCUACGCUGGCGGUGAGCAGGCAAAGGAAGUUGCUUCCGAGCGCGUCGAAACGAUGAUGCGCACGCGCAAAGUAGGCCUACGUGGAGCCGACCUGCCAUUGGGGAACCUGAUGGAAUAAACUGCUGUGAGAGGGAGUAUUGAAAGAGCCAUUUCCUCAUCAUAAAGAUGCAGUAGCCAUAAUUAUUCCAAUCAUCCAAAAGAGAAGACUUUAAAGUACAGUAGUUAGCCAUCAAAAAGAGAAGGCUAAUAUCCAGUUAUGAGAGCAUUUUCCCAAGAUACUUCUCCCCUGGACCUUGUUCCCAGGCUCCGUGUGAAGCUGAACACUCCGCAUGAUCUCCCUGCCACCAUAGCAAGCUAUGAAGUUCAUUACACAUGCAGGUAGCAGACAAUACAGCUCUGCUUCCAUUUCUGAGCACCUACGGUAGACUGCCAUUAUUCAGUGUGCCAGCCUGUUUCCAAGCCUACAAUGUAUAGUUCCUCUAGUACGUAAACUCAUUUUUUUUCUCAGAGAGCCAAGUAGAGACACAGGCAGUUUUCUUCUCAAAAUGUGCCAGAAAUUCCAAAACAAUCUCAAAGCAUUAAAGGCUAUGUGCACAAAGUACA
rnacentral:lncRNA from 1 species